rnacentral:lncRNA from 1 species
GUGGAGGACCCCAAUAUUGAACUCCUCCCUCUCUCCCAGGUAGUCUCCAAUGGCGGUCUUGUUGAGCCCCUCCCCCUUAUAGAGGAAGCGUGCGAUGUCCUCAGCCGUGUGCCGCAGCAGCUCAUUGUCCACCAGGAAUUGGAUGCCCUUUUUGGGGUCCAUGUUGAAUUUCUUGCGGCCCAUCCCCAUCUUGCGGUUGCGUUGGAGGGUUUUGCUGCCCUCGCUGGCCUCCAA